GACGAACGCUGGCGGCGUGCUUAACACAUGCAAGUCGAGCGGUAAGGCCCUUUCGGGGGUACACGAGCGGCGAACGGGUGAGUAACACGUGGGUGACCUGCCCUCAGCUCUGGGAUAAGCCUGGGAAACCGGGUCUAAUACUGGAUAUGACUCCAUGACGCAUGUUGUGGGGUGGAAAGCCUUGUGCGGCUGAGGAUGGGCCCGCGGCCUAUCAGCUUGUUGGUGGGGUGANGGCCUACCAAGGCGACGACGGGUAGCCGGCCUGAGGAGGG
rnacentral:rRNA from 1 species